rnacentral:lncRNA from 1 species
AGACCAUUUAUCCAUCCGUCCAACGUAGGCUGGUGCCGUAUCUUAGCUACAGUGAACGGCGCUGCAACAAACACGGGUGUGGAGACAUCUCUUCGACAUAUUGAUUUCAAAUCUUUCAGGUAAACACCCAGAAGUAGGAUUGCUGGACCAUAUGGUAAUCAGUAACAGACCCAGGAAGCUACACAAUGGCAGGAAUAGAUGACACUAGAAGAUGAAACUCCUUCCUAAAGGAAGCAGAACUGGAAGAGCACUAUUUGGGGAGAACCCUGGGAAUAGAUCCAAGGCGGCUUGUUUGGAAACCCAGAAAAAAUAGGGGAGUUGUGAGAAAUUAUCCCCUAAUUACUAAGGAGCUGUUAACAGAUGAAGUCAAUCUACAUUUGCUGAUGCGGAAACUUAUCCAAGAUAUACUGGCAGAACACAUGUACUACUGCUGUUAUAACUAAACAAGAAAUACUCAGGCUUUAAAUAAACAGAAGAAACUGAAAGCAGGAUAGGUACAAGGUUUUAAAGAAUUGUUCCAUUCAAUAAGAAGGAAAGAAACAAAAACAGGGCAAAAAAUGCUCUUACAUGCACAAAGAAACAACUGAAAACAAAAGUACCUUCAAAUGAAACAUGGAGACAGCUUUGGCUUUUUGCUGAGACCCUAAACUUGGUGCUUUCAAAUGUAUUACGGGCAGAAUGAAAGCUGCAAAGUACCAUUUCCAGAACUGGGAGCUUUUUCAGUUUGUUGGGUGAUUUCUAGUUAAGAUUGAAGCUGGAGUGCUGGGAACAAAAGGCAUCAAAAAGCAAACAGGGGGAAUCUGAACAUGAAUGAGGUGAGGGGACAGCCAUGAUGGCAUCACCACAGGCGAAGCAGGAGUCCAGGGCACAGUGGUGCUUCAUGUCUAGCGUCCACCUGAAGAAUGGCGGCCUACACUGGGUCCCCAAAUAGUCACUGUGUUUCAGAGCACACCCAGAUGGCAUCACGAUGGCUCCACUGAAAACACUGCUCAAAACCGGAGAUUCACUUCUAACAUGAGGUUAUAGAAAAAUACAUAUUUAAGACAUUUUCAAAGGAGGAGGAGAACUGGAGAAAUGCAGCGACGUGUUCAAGCUCCAUGGAUGAAUUCAAGGCUUCUCCCCAUGGGUGCUCUCAGCCCACCAUGUUGCCGGUCUUCUGAUUCUAUUUGCAGAUAAAUGCUAAAGGCAUAGGAUUUCAAAUAGGGGUAGCCAGAAAGUAUUGGGCAAUAAGUCAGCUUGUGGUUACCUGUCUGAGCGAGAGAUGCCAGGCAUAAGGCUGAGGGCUUGGGCCCUAGAGCCAGAGAGUGUGCAUUUGGGGCUCAGCUCCUUUUCCCCACAUGGGAAAGUUUCUUAACUUUCCUGCCUAUCCUGAGGGACCACAGGGGUACGACAAUGACGGUAGUGGUAAGGGGUCUCAAUGUGACAGGGUUGCUACAGAACUAAGGGAGAUAGUAAAGCACUCAGAACAGCACCCAGUACGACUCAAAUUUAUAUGCCUAUGACUCUGAACACACCAACCAAGUCUGCUAAAUGGUCCAUUCCUUGAGGUUGGUCAACUGGUAUGUAGAAAACACUCGAUGAGAUACUUGUUUUAGUUUUUCUUCUUUGCUAUUCAUUCAAUCUUAAAGGAUGAUGUAGGAAGAGAAAAGAACAAGUGAGCACCUACCGGUAUGUCCCAGAACUGAGCUGGACUUCUAUAAAUACAGUAGAACUUUCUCCUCACAUUUGCUGUGUGAGUUGAUAUUACCCAGAUUAAUAGACAAAGUCUGGGAAGGUUCUGGAACUACUUAAGGUUGUAAAGCUGACAGUGUGUGGGCAGACUGGGUCUUUAAUCCCAGGUCAAUGAGAACAGAGCCUGGACACCUCCCACCCCAUAUUCCCUCCACAGAAUUUUUUUUUACGCAAGGAUAACUUUUCUUAAGUAACUUUUCUUCUAUUAAAAAAAAAAGAAGAAGAAGAAAGAAAGAAAGAAGAAAGGAAGGAAGAAGGAAGGAAGGAAGAAGGAAGAAGGAAGGAAGACGGAAGGAAGAAGGAAGAAGAAGAAGCCAAAACUCUUCAACGGUUUUUCAUCCCUUGCCUGAAGGAUAGAUUUACGCAUUUGCAUGUGCCCAGGGCCCUCAUCAGUUUAAACCAAACCAGGGCCAGCACUCCCUGUACACCUGCAGACAAACCCUCCCCUGCAAUCCACGGAGACCCACCCUGUUUCCACCCUCUUCUUCCCAAAUCUCUACUUUCCCUCUGUCAUCCAAACCCACACUGCUGCCUCCUCCAUCCGGGCUCGGGGCUAACACCCCUUUGCUCGCUGGCCCUUCUGAGGCCAGACACUCUCUGGCGUUAAUUCACUGGGUGCCCCCUGUCCAGUCCCUCCACCCCACCACAAAGGCCGCUGGCGAGAGGCUUUGGAAGCACAGGACACAUGAACCCAGACAGUUACCGCACAGGUGCUUCUGCGGGGUGGAGGCAUGGAAAACGAAAAUCACACUGCACCUAAGUCACCUCACGAAGAGUCAAAGUAACCAUGAUGCUUACGAUGGUGUGCUAGUUCCCGUCAAGCCUAAUGUUGUCACCCAAUUAGAAUAAAUUGAUUUCCUUCAUAAUGGGCUCUGUCUCCACGUUAAUUUGACUGCAUGCGCUCUAGGGGAGGAUUCAUGCCUGGAGAAAAGGUGGGGCAGGGCGAGGAGGCCCACAGGAAAGACCCGAUGCCGUGACGGGCAGCAGGAGGGUGCACAGCUGCACACGACAGCAAUGCACGGCUUAUAAAAAAUAAGCACGAAACAGGAAAACCAAGAAGGGCAAAGGAAUUGUGCAGUUCCUCCUAGCAUCAAAACCUUUUAGGCAAAUGCCUACCGAGUCUUAUCCAUUCACAGCUCUGUUACGGAGCAAGAAAGUUGAGAAUAAGGCAUGAACUUAAAAGAAAGGAACUUAAAAUCAAGAUGACUGCCUGAGACAUGUUGCACAACUGAUAUAAAAACAAAUCUGAAAGUACAAUUAUACCCUAUUGCAAGGAUUUAAAUAGUUAAGUGGUCCGGUUUAGUGCCUGCUUUAUUUCCAGAAAUCAAUAAGUAAAAUAAACCUGUUAGCCAGGACUCCAUCAGGUGCUAUGAGCCCAGUUUUGUGCAAGAUGGAUAAAAUAAUCCAUGUGCCUUUAUUUGCAAGUAUUUUCCAUUCUUUUCAAAAACAACGACAAAGCCAGCAUGCAAGCUUUUUCCCAACUAACUCCUCUUAUUUCCACACCUCAUAACUAUUCAAGGGAUGAAAGAAAAAAGACUCCUUAUCAAAGGCCUGCCACAUAUUUUGAAUGUUGUACAAUGAGAAACGUCCAUUAACGUGAGAGCUCACCCCCAUCCACAAGUGUUAGUUUUAAUUACAAGUGAUCCUGUGUAUCAGGCCCUGCUGGAGAGACCAGUCGCAGAGGCUCCGAGAAUUUCCCGGAUCGUGCAUUUGAAUUCACUACAAUGCUUUGUCACUGGGGGUUUCAGCGUUCAGUAAUAAUGUGCUUUGUUCUCAAAAAUGCCCCCCACACCUGCCAACUGAAAAGAAAGCCAAGGAGACCCUUGCAGGCUGGUGUGCAAUCACGCUGCCCCCCAGUGGGCACUGCCGGUACAGCAGCCCUAAAGAAGGGCAGAGCAAAUGGGGAAUCAGCACCUCUGCAUCAGGCCGGCAGUUUGGAAAGCACCUGUCAUCAGUGAGUUGAAGGAGCAAGAGAAACAAAAACAGAAGUGAACCUAAGAGAAAAACCAAGUGAUCUCUUCUACAACUUCCAUGCACAUCAAAUAAUUAAGUUUGCAGGCGUGAAAUAUAUUCAAAAGCCAGGUAUACAAGCAUGUUUACACAGUACUUAAAACUUUUACAUAGGAAAAGCUGAGGCAAAAACAACUCUGUAUCUGCAAGUGUACACAUAAACAAGACACACGGACUGUGCACCCGCCAUUCUUACAGUGGAGAAAACUGACAAUUCAGUCCACAGAAUAUAAUGGCUGUGAUAGUCUGGUAGACAAAAGAAUAACCAAAAGAUAAUUUGGACAUUGUGGAGAGUGGACUAAAGGAGGCUGUGUGAUUCUCCACUUCAAAUGCAAUCAUUUCCCAGGAUUCACAGCAAGGAAAGAAAUACCUGAGAUUUCAGAAAAAUUAAAAAUUCACAGUAAGUCAUGAAGCCACCAAUAAGAAACUGCCAUGCUUUCUUCUUGGUUACACAUCAAAAAUUAAACAUUUUCCCCUAAAUUCCUAAGUACUGAGAUUUCCUUUAUAUAACUCAAAUUCAAGGAGGAGAGGCAAAGUAGGGAUCCAGCCAUGUGUCAGUAACAGUCCCCAAUUAGCUAAACCAUGCUAAGUAGCUAACUGCAAAAUGUUCAGUACAUCUAGGUAGCAGGAAACAGCAAUAUCUUCUGUGACACCUUACAAAUGCUAUUAUGACACCUAUGAUAACUUUCAUGACAACAUUCUAAAAUAAAAUGUAACUAUUUCCACAUCACACUCAGACCCAUUUCCUCUGGGAAGUGCAGGCGCAGGCUCACUCAGCUGCCAGCAAGGAUGCUCACUCACAAACUGGCAGUGCCCUCUGCUGGACAGUCCAUGAAUCACACCCAAACAAGAAAAGUACUGCUUUCCAUUUCUGGGUAUUUUGAAAUAAAAAUACCACAAAACAGCUCAACUAUUUAUCCUUAAUAUAGUCCCUUCAACCUGUCUGGCAAAACCACGUAAAAAUCUUAUGCUUUCAGCAGGCUUGCUCUGAUGUGUAAAUCAGUUCUAAAUUGAGUUCAAUCCUCCACAAACAUUCUUUGUCUUUGUUACUAUAUACGUAUGAUUUAUAGUUCUCUCUCUGGGGAAAUAAAAUUAAGUUCUUUCACAAUUCUUAGAAGAGAAAUAUGAAAUACGGCUCUAUGAAGUUAUUUCAAAGAUGACUUCUAACUAGGCCUAGGAUCCUCAUGCCAUUAGCAUAAUGUCUAAAAUUUCCUCUGUUCUCAAAUUCAUUCUAAUCUAUGAAAGAAGAUAUGAGUAGGCAUGAAGAUGUAUAAAGAUGAUACCAAAUUACACCUGGGUGCAGUGGCUCACACCUGUAAUCCCAGCACUUUGGGAGGCCUAGGCAGAUGGAUCACCUGAGGUCAGGAGUUCAAGACCAGCCUGACCAACAUGGUGAAACCCCAUCUCUACUAAAAAUACAAAAAUUAGCCAGGCAUGGUGGCACGUGACUGUAAUCCCAGCUACUCGGGAGGCUGAGGUAGGAGAAUCCCUUGAACACAGGAGGCAAAGGUUGCUGUGAGCAAAAGAGCAAGACUCUGUCUCAAAAAAAUAAAAAUAAAAGUAAAAAAAAAAUAAAAUACAUAGGAAAACACAAGGAAAAAAAACACGUUUUUAAACAAACAGGAAUGAAGCAUUUCAUGCCCUAGGGCACAUCCCCGUUAGUGUGGUGGAGGAUGAGAAUCAAAUCUCAGCUUUACCACUCACUAAUGGUCUUGAGGCUCACAUCUUAUUAAAUUACAAAACACGGAAAACAGACUGGGCACUGUACCUCACACCUCUAAUGCCACCACUUUGCGAGGCCAAAGCAGGAGGACUGCUAGAGGCCAGGAGCUCAAGACCAGCCCGGGCAACAGAGCAAUACCCCAUUUCUACAAAACAUUUAAAGAAUAAAAAAUUAGCUGGUGGUACAUGCUUGUACCUGUAGUCCCAGCUACUUGGGAGGCUGAGGUGGGAGAACUGCUUGAGGCCAGGAGAUCAAGGCUGCAGUGAGCUAUAAUUGCAACACUGCACUCCAGCCUCGGUAACAGAGUAAGACACACACACACACACACACCACACACACACAGUAAAAGAGCAGAUACCUCGCAGAGUGUUAUGAGAAUCCAUUUAUGUGAAGCACCUAGCACAUGGGUUAUAUUCAUUAAACACCAUGUUACAUACAAACAUAGAUAAAAGACAGACAUGCCCUUAAUUUCUCUCCAUAAAACCUCCCAAGAUUCUAUAUUCAGAACAGAAGAAAAUACCAAUCCCUCUGACUAGCAGUCUCAGUCUUCCUCUUGUACAACUGAAGAAAGAACAAGCGAGGCUACAGCAAUGAGGGUGGAGUGCACCAUGACACAGUGAGGCCCACAGCAACUGCACAGCACACCUGCCCCAUCCCUGGGCCUGGAGGCUGCAGGCGUGAAUCCUACAAGAGCAAAGGGUCUGGGCACCCUGAAACGUUCUUUAAAAGAUUCUAAUACUCAGUGAAGCUGGAACUGAAAAUCAUAUGCACCUUUUAAAAGGCAUUUUUGGCUGGGCACCGUGGCUCACACCUGUAAUACCAGUACUUUGGGAGGCCAAGGCAGGCAGAUCACCUGAGGUCAGGAGUUUGAAAUCAGCCUGUCUAACAUGGUGAAACCCUGUCUCUACUAAAAAUACAAAAAUUAGCUGGGCGUGGUGGCAUGCACCUAUAGUCCCAGCUACUCAGGGGGCCUGUCUAACAUGGUGAAACCCUCUCUAUACUAAAAAUACAAAAAUUAGCUGGGCAUGGUGGCAUGCGCCUAUAGUCCCAGCUACUCAGGGGGCUGAAGCACGAGUUUGCUUGAAACCGGGAGGUGGAGGCUGUGGUGAGCCAAGAAAGCGCCACUGUA